UACGUAGGGUGCAAGCGUUAAUCGGAAUUACUGGGCGUAAAGCGUGCGCAGGCGGUUCGGAAAGAAAGGUGUGAAAUCCCGGGGCUUAACCUCGGAACUGCACUUUUAACUACCGGGCUAGAGUACGUCAGAGGGGGGUAGAAUUCCACGUGUAGCAGUGAAAUGCGUAGAUAUGUGGAGGAAUACCGAUGGCGAAGGCAGCCCCCUGGGAUGAUACUGACGCUCAUGCACGAAAGCGUGGGGAGCAAACAGGAUUAGAUACCCUGGUAGUCCACGCCCUAAACGAUGUCAACUAGCUGUUGGGGUUUAUUAACCUUAGUAGCGCAGCUAACGCGUGAAGUUGACCGCCUGGGGAGUACGGUCGCAAGAUUAAA
rnacentral:rRNA from 1 species